AGCCUAGGUCGGAUUAGCUAGUUGGUGAGGUAAUGGCUCACCAAGGCGACGAUCCGUAACUGGUCUGAGAGGAUGAUCAGUCACACUGGAACUGAGACACGGUCCAGACUCCUACGGGAGGCAGCAGUGGGGAAUAUUGGACAAUGGGCGAAAGCCUGAUCCAGCCAUGCCGCGUGUGUGAAGAAGGUCUUCGGAUUGUAAAGCACUUUAAGUUGGGAGGAAGGGUUGUAGAUUAAUACUCUGCAAUUUUGACGUUACCGACAGAAUAAGCACCGGCUAACUCUGUGCCAGCAGCCGCGGUAAUACAGAGGGUGCAAGCGUUAAUCGGAAUUACUGGGCGUAAAGCGCGCGUAGGUGGUUUGUUAAGUUGGAUGUGAAAGCCCCGGGCUCAACCUGGGAACUGCAUCCAAAACUGGCAAGCUAGAGUACGGUAGAGGGUGGUGGAAUUUCCUGUGUAGCGGUGAAAUGCGUAGAUAUAGGAAGGAACACCAGUGGCGAAGGCGACCACCUGGACUGAUACUGACACUGAGGUGCGAAAGCGUGGGGAGCAAACAGGAUUAGAUACCCUGGUAGUCCACGCCGUAAACGAUGUCAACUAGCCGUUGGAAUCCUUGAGAUUUUAGUGGCGCAGCUAACGCAUUAAUUUGACCGCCUGGGGGAGUACCGGCCGCAAGGGUUAAAACUCAAAUUGAAUUUGACGGGGGGCCCCGCACAAAGCGGUGGGAGCCUGGUGGGUUUAAUUUCGAAACCAACCGCGAAAGAACCUUUACCUGGGCCUUUGACAUGGCUGGAGAACUUUUCCAAGAAGAUGGGAUUGGGUGGCCUUCCGGGGAACUCCAGAACACAAGGUGCUUGCAUUGGCUUGUCCGCCACCUCCGUGUCCCUGGAAAUUGGUUGGGGUUUAAGUUCCCCGUAACCGAGCCGCAACCCCUUUGCCCCUUAAGUUACCAAGGCACGGUUAAUGGGUGGGGAAAUCUCUU
rnacentral:rRNA from 1 species